GGGAUGACACAGUAGGAUAAGCUAAGCACACUGUUGGUUAUGUGUGCCCAAGCAUUGAGGCAGUCAAAGUAGGCAAAUCCGCUUUGAUAAUGCUGGGAUGUGAUGGGGAGCGAAAUUUAGUAGCGAAGUAGCUGAUUUCACACUGUCAAGAAAAGUCUCUAUCGAGGUUAAAGGUACCCGUACCGCAAACCGACACAGGUGGGUGAGGAGAGUAUCCUAAGGCCAGCGAGAGAACUGUUGUUAAGGAACUCGGCAAAAUGACCCCGUAACUUAGGGAUAAGGGGUGCCACCAUCAGGUGGCCGCAGAGAAUAGGCCCAAGCGACUGUUUACCAAAAACAUAGGUUUCUGCUAAGUCGCAAGACGAUGUAUAGGAGCUGACGCCUGCCCGGUGCUGGAAGGUUAAGGGGAUCUGUUAGAGCAAUCGAAGCAGUGAACUUAAGCCCCAGUAAACGGCGGCCGUAACUAUAACGGUCCUAAGGUAGCGAAAUUCCUUGUCGGGUAAGUUCCGACCCGCACGAAAGGCGUAACGAUUUGGGCACUGUCUCAACAACAGACUCGGUGAAAUUGUAAUUCCGGUGAAGAUGCCGGAUACCUGCGACAGGACGGAAAGACCCCAUGGAGCUUUACUGUAGCUUGACAUUGGGUCUUGGUACUACAUGUACAGGAUAGGUGGGAGGCUUUGAAACCAGGACGCCAGUUUUGGCGGAGCCAUCCUUGGGAUACCACCCUUGUAGUACUGGGACUCUAACCAUAGGCCAUGAAUCUGGUCUUGGGACACUGUCAGGUGGGCAGUUUGACUGGGGCGGUCGCCUCCCAAAAGGUAACGGAGGCGCUCAAAGGUUCUCUCAGUACGGUCGGAAAUCGUACGUAGAGUGUAAAGGCAAAAGAGAGCUUGAUUGCAAGACAUACAGGUCGAGCAAGGAUGAAAAUCGGACUUAGUGAUCCGGUGGUUCUGCGUGGAAGGGCCAUCGCUCAACGGAUAAAAGCUACCCUGGGGAUAACAGGCUUAUCUCCCCCAAGAGUCCACAUCGACGGGGAGGUUUGGCACCUCGAUGUCGGCUCAUCACAUCCUGGGGCUGUAGUAGGUCCCAAGGGUUGGGCUGUUCGCCCAUUAAAGUGGUACGCGAGCUGGGUUCAGAACGUCGUGAGACAGUUCGGUCCCUAUCCGUCGCAGGCGUAGGAAAUUUGAGAAGACCUGUCCUUAGUACGAGAGGACCGGGAUGGACGUACCUCUGGUGUACCAGUUGUCCUGCCAAGGGCAUGGCUGGGUAGCUAUGUACGGAAUGGAUAAGCGCUGAAAGCAUCUAAGCGCGAAGCCAACUUCAAGAUAAGAUUUCCCACCGCAAGGGUAAGACCCCAGAAAGACUAUCUGGUUGAUAGGUCGAAGGUGUAAGUGCAGCAAUGUAUUUAGCUUAUCGA
rnacentral:rRNA from 1 species